UACGAAGGGUGCAAGCGUUAAUCGGAUUUACUGGGCGUAAAGCGUGCGCAGGCGGCUUUGCAAGACAGAUGUGAAAUCCCCGGGCUCAACCUGGGAACUGCAUUUGUGACUGCAAGGCUAGAGUACGGCAGAGGGGGAUGGAAUUCCGCGUGUAGCAGUGAAAUGCGUAGAUAUGCGGAGGAACACCAAUGGCGAAGGCAAUCCCCUGGGCCUGUACUGACGCUCAUGCACGAAAGCGUGGGGAGCAAACAGG
rnacentral:rRNA from 1 species